UACCUUGGGUCAAAGCAAUAGGACUUUUUUGUCCAAAGGCUUCUGGUUAACUUGUAAAGGUGUGAUCUAGGUUAUAGAGAUGGCCAGUUCCAUAUUCUACAGCUCUGUGGAAGGCUGGUUCUAAAAAAAACUGAAAUUGCCACCUAAAAUUUGCAGUCUGAAAUAUUGCUUCCAGUAUUGCCCGAAUGAGGAAAAAACACAGCCUAUUUAUACACAGAUAUGAAAGGGCAGACUGCUUCCCAAUGCAUGUCUAGGCACUGACAACCACUUUUCCUCAUUAUGAGGAACAUCAUUAUGAUGUUUAUUUCUAUCUUAAGGGAUGCAGUCUUCUCCUAUUUAAUAGCAUGUGGAAGCUACAGCUAUCCAUUAACAGUAUAUGGAUUUAUCCAUUUAGCAGUACAUGUCUACCCAGAUGUUAAAUUACAUAUAUCCACUGCUCUCAGUGGGACUUACUCCCGGGUGAGCAUUACAGAAUUACAGUAUCAAUGCAUCGAGACAAAAAAAGUAUCAUACUGCUGUACAGCUUCUCCCUUGAACUCCACCUGUAUCAAGUUAUGGUACAACACAUAAUCAGUGAGUUGCCGACUGCAGUGUCAUAUUUCUUCAGCAGUAUCCACCCACUACGUCUUCAGUAUGAGUUAAUAAGCCAGUGUAUUACCCAAUUAUGGAAAUGAAUGGCAAAUUAGUCAAAACAUCUGGCUCCUUACAAAUCCUUUCACUGCUGGGGAUUGUGAAGGUGGUGGUGGGGAGAACAUUUAUUAAGAAGAGGAACAGAGUACUGUGUAGUUGAAUUACUCUAGGAGGCCAGUAAAGGAAGAGGAAGAAUGAAGGAGGGCUGACUCAUGAUUACUGCUCCUUACUGAAGUAUUUCACUGGGGAUUUAAUACAGAAAGUUUUUCUGUUUUCUCUGCAGACCUCAGCAAGGCUUGUUUGCCCCUCACCACCCAUAAAAGAAGGAAGAAUAUGAACAGGAAUCUAUCUGUUUCAAAAUGGUGUCAGGCUGAAGCAUGUAUCAGGACACAACAUCAUUGUCUUGUCAUCAUUAGUGGUAAUGAGAGAUUUCCUCCUAAUACAAAUGCCAGGAUUUUCAUCAAGUCCAAAGGAAGAGAAGGAAAGGGUUAAUUUAAAAAAAACAACCACCCCA